UCGAGGGGCAGCAGGUGUAGCAAUACAUCGCUGGCGACCGGCAGACGGGUGCGUAACACGUACGCAAUCUACCUCCAACUGGGGCACAACCUCGAGAAAUCGGGGCUAAUUCCCCGUAACAUUACGGAAUGGCAUCAUUCUGUAAUUAAAGUUCCGACGGUUAGAGAUGAGCGUGCGUCCGAUUAGCUAGUUGGCAGGGUAACGGCCUACCAAGGCGACGAUCGGUAGCUGGUGUGAGAGCACGACCAGCCACACGGGCACUGAGAUACGGGCCCGACUCCUACGGGAGGCAGCAGUAAGGAAUAUUGGUCAAUGGACGCAAGUCUGAACCAGCCAUGCCGCGUGCAGGAUGAAGGUCCUCUGGAUUGUAAACUGCUUUUCUCUGGGAAGAAAUCCUUGAUUUCUAUCGAGGUUGACGGUACCAGAGGAAUAAGCACCGGCUAACUCCGUGCCAGCAGCCGCGGUAAUACGGAGGGUGCAAGCGCUAUCCGGAUUUACUGGGUUUAAAGGGUGCGUAGGCGGAUUGGAAAGUCAGUGGUGAAAUACUCCGACUUAAUCGGAGAACCGCCGUUGAUACUAUCAAUCUUGAAUGUGGUUGAGGCGGGCGGAAUGUGUCGUGUAGCGGUGAAAUGCUUAGAUAUGACACAGAACACCCAUUGCGAAGGCAGCUCGCUAAACCACCAUUGACGCUGAGGCACGAAAG
rnacentral:rRNA from 1 species